rnacentral:lncRNA from 1 species
AAAGCCUCUAUUGCUGAGAGUAAAGAUUUGCUGGGUCGAAGGCAACAGCUGACUCAUGAAUCUUUAAGCCUUCAUGAUCCAUAGAAACUGCUGGCCAGUGUGGUACAGAAAUUCUGGCUGUAGUUGGUGUGCUUUUGUGGAGGUUCUGUAUGCUGAAGGAAACCUCAUCUGAAGCCCAUGCUCAGGACCAGUGUGAAAAGCUUGAAGAGUUUAAAGAAGCAGGAUAGAAAACUGUGUCUGAUAUUUACAUAUCGUGAUCUGGUGAUCUGGAGGUGACAUCUUAAUGGGCUGAGCUGAACUGGGAAGCAGGAGGAGACCUCAAUUAAAUAAAAUCUUGCAUUAAGGAAGCCCUUUGUGGGUA